CAACCACAUUCUUGAUGACAACCAACAUCAGUGUGACGUAUGGUUGUGUUGAAGUGUGUCUGAAUACAAAAAAAAAAACUCGCGCAAAAUUCCAAUUCGGAUAAUUCGAUUCUAAAUUUCGCUAAAAUAUCGCGUUUUGAAGUGUUUGACCGUAAUUGGCUGGUCCUCCUGUGUGCAGCACGUCCAGUGAUUAUCGAUUUAUUAAGACAAUCUCCUCCACCGAGCAUCCUCUCAUCACGCACUCCAGGGGGUUAGGUGGAGAUGAGACGGGACUUCAGGCGCCACCACCGCCACCAACCGGUCUACCCCGAGAGUGGUCCGUGGCCGUGCCGUGAUUGCAAUUUCUUCGCGCCAGACUCCGUUUAUGACUGUAGACAUCAAAACAUGUUCUGCGCGUUCAGGUACACAGACGCAUCCCCACCCGAACCGCUUUCCUCUUGGCUGGCCCCGGUCGUAGACGGCAAAGAAAAGUAAAAGCCUUUCCAGCGAAGAGGCUCGCUCCUCUUGGCGUCUUCAUCGACGGAACAUGGCCCCAAAAGGAGGGGUUCAGGAGGAGAGGAAAAUUGAAUCUUCAGCGCCGUGGCGAACAAGUGAGUUAUAAUGUAAAACGUCGCGUUAUAAAUUAUCUGAAAUACAGAAGCUAUUUCCAAUUAUUAUUAUAAA